CAAAUCCGGUUGAUCCUGCCGGACCCUACUGCUAUCGGGGGAGGACUAAGACAUGUUAGUUGUGCGCCUCCAAGCUAUGAUGGAGACGCGGCAUACGGCUCAGUAACACGUGGCUAACCCACCCUUGAGACGAAGAAAACCCCGGGAAACUGGGGGUAAUCCUCGAUAGAAGAAGACACCUGGAAGGGGUCUCCUUCCAAAAGGCGUCUAGAUCAUGCUUCUGGACGUUGCUCAAGGACGGGGCCGCGGCCGAUCAGGUUGUUGGUGAGGCAAAGGCUCACCAAGCCUAUAACCGGUACGGGCCGUGAGAGCGGGAGCCCGGAGAUGGGCACUGAGACAAGGGCCCAGGCCCUACGGGGCGCAGCAGUUGCGAAAACUCCGCAAUGCACGAAAGUGUGACGGGGCUACCCCGAGUGCCGUCCGCUGAGGGCGGCUUUUCCCUGGUGUAAGGAGCCGGGGGAAUAAGGAGAGGGCAAGUCUGGUGUCAGCCGCCGCGGUAAUACCAGCUCUCCGAGUGGUAGGGAUGUUUAUUGGGCUUGAAGCGUCCGUAGCUGGCCUGACAAGUCUUCCGUUAAAUCUACCGAUUCAAUCGCUAGACCGCGGGGGAUACUGUUGGGCUAGGGGGCGGAAGAGGCCGACGGUAUUCUCGGGGUAGGGGUAAAAUCCUAUAAUCCCGGGAAGACCACCAGUG
rnacentral:rRNA from 1 species